AUAAUGAAGCAAUUUCCGAGCAAGUGGGAGAAAAAAAUAUAAAAUGGAAGUGUAUGGCAAGACAACACUC